AAGUGGAUUAACUACUUCUGAGCAUUAGAGACUGAGAUGAAUCCUCCCGAAGAAAUCUCAUCACAGAUGGUUCGGAGCUGCACUGAUUAGAAUGCUUACUGUUCCAGCACUAGGACACGUUUAGAGAUAUGAAGCCCUUCAAAAUAGCAAAGUAAAGUGAAAUACAUGAAAUAAAAUCCUCCCUGACAUGUUUCCUCAUUUGAGGACCUCAGCCACAUCAUCCCUGGGAACGUGGAGACACGUUCCCUGGGAACCUGUGCUCACAGCCACCCCCCGAGGGGGGAAGCAAUCUGUCCCCCUGGAGUCCCAGGCACAGUGGAGAUGAUUCAGGAACCUUUCUCUUUAGGCUACCUUCCCAGCCUUCCAGCGGUUCUCAUGAGUAUUAAAUACAUCGGUGAGUCUGCCGUUCCCCGCCUCAAGCUGGAAACUGGAAUCCAAGAGUCACGAGAAGGUUCAGGCUGCUUCUAUCCAGGGUACCACGUUAUAGUCAGUCACGUCUCCUGACGCUCCUCUCGGCCGUUCCUCAGACUGCCCUCGUUUUUUGGUGUCCUUAGCAGUUUUGAGGAAGCCCUACCAUUGGAACCGGUUUGUCUCGAUUCUUUACCUCAAUCCCCGGGAUUCGUGGUCUCGCUGCUUCGAAGAACGAAAAGAUGGACACAAAUGAGCAGCAGGCAGAAAUUUAUUAGAGUGUAAGAUCAGAGAGUAAGAAUACCAUGAAAGCUCUCCUUGCAGAGAGGGGAUAUUUGAAAGAGAAUGCCCGUGACUACAGGCAAAGAUCCUUGUUUUAUAAGGUUCUGGUGCCC